AUUACAGGCAGCAGAUAAGGAGAUACGCGGGAACGCUUCGUUCAGACGUUUUUGCUGAUGGCAGCAACCACGAAAGCAAUUCGUUGAGCGGAAGCAUCGAGAAAGCGAGCGGUACGUUUCGAGUAUGGCGAUUGAACGAUGCAAAUUCAAUAGAAUACAAAUAACUCGCUCGAAGGAUGUUCUUCGUCGUUGUGGACAACGAGAACCGAUAUAAUUGCGGACAAUUGUGGACAACAAUAUGGUUUUGAUGUUGUUUUGAAGCAGCUUCCUUGUAGCAGGAUGACAUGCUGUUUUCAUCAUCGGUGAGUGCAAGUGCUUCUAUUUUCUGUAGCCUAGCUUGCGAAGGGCCUUUAGAUCCACAUCACCAUAGUAAUCUUGGCUGAGGAAUGUAUAAGAAUAUUACUAUUUGUUACUUAAUCAUAACGUGUAAUUAUCUUCAAUCUUCAACCAAUUAAGUUGACCAUUAA